AUACAUCAAUUAAGGUGAUAACACCAGCACACAAAAGAAAGUCCACUUAUCAAAGAUCCACGAUUCACGUGUUUUAAAUCUGUCGGAUAUCAGUGAAAAUUUACCAGCAAUAUGUGAACGCAAAUAUCAUAUAUUGGGAGAUGGAGCAUAUUCUAUAAGAGAGUGGCUAUUGGUUCCCUAUAGAGAUUAUGGAAAUCUGACGGAUAAACAACGCAAAUUUAAUAAACGAUUCUGUGCGACACGAGUAUUAAUUGAAAAUGCAUUUGGACUAUUAAAGAGCCGUUUUCGACAACUCACAGAGUUACAUAUUCACAGUGUUGAUAAAAUAUCAAAAUUCAUUAUUUCUUGUUGUGUUCUAUACAAUUUAUGUAUUGAUAACAACGAUAAUUUUGAUCUUGAAUUCGAUGUUAACAACGAAGAUAAUAACGAAGAACUGAAUAAUGAAGUUCGAGGAGAGCAAGAAACUCUACUCCGCAGAUUGGGCGAAAUAAAAAGGAAUGAAUUAUUG